ACCUGGGUGGCUCAGUUGGUUGAGCAUCUGACUCGUGAUUUCAGCUCAGGUCAUGAUCCCAGGGUCGUGGGAUUGAGCCCCUCCUCAGGCU
rnacentral:tRNA from 1 species